UAGUCUCGCACAGAUGCAUAUCAAUAAGCGGAGGAAAAGAAACUAACAAGGAUUCCCCUAGUAACGGCGAGUGAAGCGGGAAGAGCUCAAAUUUGAAAUCUUAAAGGGUUUCCCUUUACGAAUUGUAGUUUAAAGAAGUGUUUUCUGUUGAGGUUUUGGUAAAAGUUCUUUGGAAUAGGACAUCAUAGAGGGUGAGAAUCCCGUAUUUGACCUUUACUUUCAACUUUGUGAUACACUUUCAAAGAGUCGGAUUGUUUGGGAAUGCAGUCCAAAAUGGGUGGUAAAUUUCAUCUAAAGCUAAAUAUUGGCGAGAGACCGAUAGCGAACAAGUACCGUGAGGGAAAGAUGAAAAGAACUUUGAAAAGAGAGUUAAACAGUACGUGAAAUUGUCAAAAGGGAAGCGUUUGACACCAGUGUUGUUUUUCUGAAAAUCAAUUAAAGAACUGUUUAUGCUAAGCUGUUUAGACUUUAUCAGCUAAUCUGUUUAGUUUUGAGCUUUUCUUUAAUGCACUUUUCAGUUAACAAGUCAACAUCAAUUUCUUUUGCUGUAAAAAAGCUUGAGGAAGGUGGCUUGAGAUUCGUCUUAAGUGUUUAUAGCCUCUUGCCUAUGCAGUCGGAGAGAUUGAGGUCUGCAGCGUAGAUCCUUCGGGGCUAAAUGCAUUUGUGCUAAGUUAUAGCAUUUUAUAGACAACUUGUUGACUAUGAUUUGUCUUGUAGCUUACUCGCUUAUGUUAUUUUACCUACGCUUAGGAUGUUGACGCGCGUGUGUGCGUG
rnacentral:rRNA from 1 species